UACGUAGGUGGCAAGCGUUGUCCGGAAUUAUUGGGCGUAAAGCGCGCGCAGGUGGUCUCUUAAGUCUGAUGUGAAAGCCCACGGCUCAACCGUGGAGGGUCAUUGGAAACUGGGGAACUUGAGUACAGAAGAGGAAAGUGGAAUUCCACGUGUAGCGGUGAAAUGCGUAGAGAUGUGGAGGAACACCAGUGGCGAAGGCGACUUUCUGGUCUGUAACUGACACUGAGGCGCGAAAGCGUGGGGAGCAAACAGG
rnacentral:rRNA from 1 species